rnacentral:lncRNA from 1 species
UGCAAAAAGUGGGGCCUGGAGAUGGGGCUGUCUUUUUUCUCCAAACACUUGCCCAUCCAGGAAGGCCAGCCCUGGGCAUUGAAGACUCCAGCUGACAUCAUCUCUACCGUUGAGUUCAACCACACGGGAGAGCUGCUGGCCACAGAGUAAAAAUGCGCCCCACAGCCAGGGCGAAUACGACGUGUACAGCACUUUCCAGAGCCACGAGCCGGAGUUUGACUAUCUCAAGAGCCUGGAGAUAGAGGAGAAGAUCAACAAGAUCAAGUGGCUCCCACAGCAGAACGCCGCCCACUCACUCCUGUCCACCAACGAUAAAACUAUCAAAUUAUGGAAGAUUACCGAACGAGAUAAAAGGCCCGAAGGAUACAACCUGAAGGAUGAAGAGGGGAAACUUAAGGACCUGUCCACGGUGACGUCACUGCAGGUGCCAGUGCUGAAGCCCAUGGAUCUGAUGGUGGAGGUGAGCCCUCGGAGGAUCUUUGCCAAUGGCCACACCUACCACAUCAACUCCAUCUCCGUCAACAGUGACUGCG